rnacentral:rRNA from 1 species
AACGAACGCUGGCGGCAUGCCUAACACAUGCAAGUCGAGCGAAGACUUCGGUCCUAGCGGCGGACGGGUGCGUAACGCGUGGGAACGUGCCCUUUGCUUCGGAAUAGCCCUGGGAAACUGGGAGUAAUACCGGAUGAGACCUCUGGGGGCAAGGUUUAGCGGCGAAGGAUCGGCCCGCGUUGGAUUAGGUAGUUGGUGGGGUAAUGGCCUAGCAAGCGGAGGAUGCAUAGCUGGUGUGAGAGGAUGAUCAGCCACACCGGGAGUGGGAUACGGUCCAGAAUCCUACGGGAGGCAGCAGUGGGGAAUCUUAGACAACGGGGGGAGUCAUGAUGUAGCCAGGCCGCGUGAGCGAUGAAGGCAUUAGGGUUGUAAAGCUCUGUCAGCAGGGAAGAUAAUGACGGUACCAGCAGAAGAAGCCCCGGCUAACUACGUG